UUUCGGUGCCGAGUCGUACUUCCCCAUGUGCCUCACUCACCUGUACGACCCAGAAGGAAACACAGCGUGCGCGUACGAUCGAGAACGAAACAGAGCCUCCGCACUGCACCGGGAAGGGGAAAAUACGUUGUCGCGGCAGCGUCACCUCCUUCAUCCACCGCCGAGCCCGGUUGUGGAUUCCGCAGGGCUCGCAGAAAGGCGCGAUCUUGAGCGUGGGUUCCCGGCUUCCGGUGCUCAAUUUGCUUGGCCUGCAAGAAAGAUGGCAGCUUGAUUAGGACGAGCACUUCAUCUGAUUUCGGCGAUAUUGUUCUCAAACAGUCUCUUACAGAGACUGAGGGGUUUGAUCAAGAAAGAAGAAGGAAUAAAGGGAAGAAGGCUGGAAUACGCAGAAUCCAUAUUGACCAAAAAGGAGAGAUUUUGUGGUCCUUUUUUAUUCUUCUUCAACAUGGUAACCUCAUCUCUCUGUUGAUUGCCAGUCCAGAUUGAGAGAGAGAGAGAGAGAGAGAGAGAGAGAGGAAAAGAACCAGCUGCUUUAUCCUCCUCCUUUUGUUCUCUGUUUCAAGUCUUCCAUUUUGGUCUGCCUCCCUAUUUGCAGCAGCUUAUUUCCAUGUUCCUGAGAUCGAAGAUUCAAGAUAUUAUUCUGAGGGAGAGGUCCAAGGCAGUCAGCAGGAAAAAAGAGUUGAUGCCCGAUACUACCUCUUCCCCACCUCCCAACCCCGCCUUCACUUCUCCAAAUCUCCUUGUGGAGGGCUGCUCUGUGAGGAAGAGUUCCAUGUACUCUGAGGACGCAAUAGGUCCCAAGUCCAUGCUAGCGACCAUACCAUUCUUUGCCACUGGGAACCGGUCCUCAUCUGAUAGUAGAGACUGCAAGACAAAGCCCCUGUCAGUAGAGACUGCAGCUGCCACCACUGGUACUGAGAGCAGACACCAUCCUUGGCACAAUCGAAGGUCACGAGCCAUUGGACUUGGCCUUGUUGAUGCUCUGAGCAAUGAGGAGACUGGUGAUGUAGGGUGUACGAUGGUUGUCUUUGGGUCUCAGCUUAAGAUUCAAACACUUCCUGGUCUAUCCAACUCCAUGUCCCCUGUGUCCAUUGAGUCUCCUCGGUCUAUCAUGGAGUUCGGUAGCAAGACUAAGACUUCUCAGAUGGAUUCAUAUUUACCUGGCAGAACGGUUUCUGGUUCUGUCUUUUCUCCUCAGUUGUUCAUGGGUCACAUGUCCCCAACCGAGAUUGAGCUCUCAGAAGAUUACACUUGUGUGAUAUCGCAUGGGCCUAUCCCGAAGAAAACACAUAUCUUUCACAAUUGCAUCAUUGAGAGCUGCGACAAAGAGUUCCUUACCUUGAAGAAGAGUACAUGUUUGGAUGAUCCGUCAGGAUAUGCUGCAGAUACUUCAUUGAGCUGCUGUGUUUCAUGCAAGGAGGAUAUUGGGAAGGGGAAGGGAAUUUCUCUUUACAGAGGAGAGAAAGGAUUGUGUAGCCAUGAAUGCGGCUACCAAGAGGUGGUCUCCGAUGAAUAGACAGAGAACGCCGACCGAGUAUCUGAAAUCAGCAUGUUCUCUUCCUGGAAGUGAACUUUGGGUGUCUGCUUCCUUGUAUAGUUUCUUUUUCAGAAGUCUUCUGGGUUAAAAUCAGGAUACUAAGAGCCAUCAGAAGUAAUUUUAUUGAAUAGUUCCGGUUAACCAUAAAUGAGGCUGGUGAGGAACCAGUAAUAAUUGUCAAUCAGGUUAUGUUAGAAACAUUUUAUGUAGAAUUCUGAUAUAUAGCAACUAGCAAGCAUGCUUCAUUCAGAAUUCCAAUUAAGCAGCCAACCAUCACAGAAGUGGCCAAAUAGGGUUUCCACAGAAUGCAGUCCCAUCCAGCAUUCUCUUGGUGGUGUUGCUAGUCCACAUGCUAAAAUGAGCAGCGCAAGAAUCAUUCCUGAAUUGUAUGUCAGACAAACUCUAGAAAGUGAUUUGCCAAGAUGUCAAGUGUAUUAUUCAUUUGGUGUCAUGCUUUGCGACUUGGAAUCAACCUCUUUCUUUCUUUACAGGAUAAGAUUGUAUAUUGAUCCUCUCUCCAGACUUUUAAUUUGAAGUUCUUGAAGUUGUUGCACUGUGCCAUCAUGGCAGUCUUGUUGGAAAGGCACCUGGUUCUCGACUCCUUCCUCAUCAUCGAGUUAGUUAUUUUUCCAUGAACAGCUGCAGUUCUCCCUUUAUUUCCAAGCUUUGGUAUAACCCAAUUUUCUCGGUGUCCAUACAACCUCAAGAAGUCAUAUAGUCUCAAUUAUUUAAAAUUGAUUACAUGGAUCUUUUGGGGUUCAUCUGUAUAUAUCAGAAGGUGCAUUAACAUAUUUUCUUUCCUCUUUUUAUA